UACGAAGGGGGCGAGCGUUGUCCGGAUUUAUUGGGCGUAAAAGGCUUGUAGGUGGCCACGCCAAGUCGGAUGUGAAAUCUCCCGGCUCAACUGGGAGGGGUCAUUCGAUACUGGCGGGCUCGAGGCCGGUAGGGGGAAGUGGAAUUCCCGGUGUAGCGGUGGAAUGCGUAGAUAUCGGGAGGAACACCAGUGGCGAAGGCGGCUUCCUGGACCGGUUCUGACACUGAGGAGCGAAAGCGUGGGGAGCGAUCCGG
rnacentral:rRNA from 1 species